AUUGUUAUAUUCUUAUGGUUGCUUUUUUUUCAAUUUUUUUUGAAAAACAAAAAGAGCACUCGCUGGUGCAAGAAGGAGAGUGGGUUGCCAGCGACCUCUGAGCUUUCGAGAUACCAUCCACAAUACAGUUAUUGAGAUUCUCUGAGAUCCACAUCUAUGCGAUCAGUUAGCCUCAUUGUCACAACCAUCACAGUAGAUAAGUUUAUUAUUAAUUUUCUUUACUUGUUUUAAAUUUUAUAUUUAGAAGCUUCAUAUAUUUAGGCUUGAAUUUGAAAAUGGGAUCUAAGGGAUAAAAAUGUAAUCUAACCAUCUAGUCGA
rnacentral:lncRNA from 1 species